AUGCAAGUCGAACGGAAACGAUACUAGCUUGCUAGUAGGCGUCGAGUGGCGGACGGGUGAGUAACGCGUAGGAAUCUGCCUGAUAGUGGGGGAUAGCCCGAAGAAAUUCGGAUUAAUACCGCAUAAUCUAUUCGUAGUAAAGUGGGGGACUUUCGAGCCUCACGCUAUCAGAUGAGCCUGCGUAAGAUUAGCUUGUUGGUAGGGUAAAAGCCUACCAAGGCGACGAUCUUUAGCUGGUCUGAGAGGAUGAUCAGCCACAUCGGGACUGAGACACGGCCCGAACUCCUACGGGAGGCAGCAGUGGGGAAUAUUGGACAAUGGGGGCAACCCUGAUCCAGCAAUACCGCGUGUGUGAAGAAGGCCUGAGGGUUGUAAAGCACUUUCAAUUGUGAAGAAAAGUUAGCGGUUAAUAACCGUUAGCCUUGACGUUAACU
rnacentral:rRNA from 1 species